rnacentral:rRNA from 1 species
GCCUGAUCCAGCCAUGCCGCGUGCAGGAUGACGGUCCUAUGGAUUGUAAACUGCUUUUGUACGAGAAGAAACACUCCUACGUGUAGGAGCUUGACGGUAUCGUAAGAAUAAGGAUCGGCUAACUCCGUGCCAGCAGCCGCGGUAAUACGGAGGAUCCGAGCGUUAUCCGGAAUCAUUGGGUUUAAAGGGUCCGUAGGCGGUUUAGUAAGUCAGUGGUGAAAGCCCAUCGCUCAACGGUGGAACGGCCAUUGAUACUGCUGAACUUGAAUUAUUAGGAAGUAACUAGAAUAUGUAGUGUAGCGGUGAAAUGCUUAGAGAUUACAUGGAAUACCAAUUGCGAAGGCAGGUUACUACUAAUGGAUUGACGCUGAUGGACGAAAGCGUGGGUAGCGAACAGGAUUAGAUACCCUGGUAGUCCACGCCGUAAACGAUGGAUACUAGCUGUUGGAAGCAAUUUCAGUGGCUAAGCGAAAGUGAUAAGUAUCCCACCUGGGGAGUACGUUCGCAAGAAUGAAACUCACAGGAAUUGACGGGGGCCCGCACAAGCGGUGGAGCAUGUGGUUUAAUUCGAUGAUACGCGAGGAACCUUACCAAGGCUUAAAUGUAAAUUGACCGGUUUGGAAACAGAUCUUUCG